CUUUUUCCUAGGUCGGCUUCUAGUUCUCUUUCUCAAGAUUUGCUGGUAUUCUAUUUCUUCUCCUCCUACUUGUUCUUGGUCUCCCGGGUGGAUAAUGGUCGCGAUGUUGUGCUUCUUGUUAUCUUUUUCUCUUUGUUUAUGUGCCUUCUCUUUUGCUUUUCUUAUUCUUCUUUGUUUCCCAAAUUGGGGAGAGCGGCGCUGCUUCUGGGUUCUUUACAAGGAGGCUAUGAUGAUUCUUGCUCGAGGGUUUCGCUACAAUUGAGAGGAAAGCAGUUAUUCUCUUGACGGCAAGGCAAUCUUGCAGGCAACUAUUUGCAAGCCAUUUUGAUUUAUUAGUUGCAGAUCAAUCGGUGAAUCAGAGCCCCCCUCUCCAUCUUCCCCUUCCCUCUCCAUCUUCCCUUCCCUGCUUUCAAAUUGCUGGGAUUUUUGUUUUCAAUAUUCUUUUUACGGUUGUGUUUCCGAGAGAUUUUAAAGUAGAUUUAGGUGGAGAGUGUAGGAAGUGGGGAGAUCUUGGUCAAAGUCUCUCUCCCUCUCUCCCUUUUCUUCAGUAUAUCUUCAAAAGUUUUGAACUUGGUUCAGAUAUUUUAUUUUGUCAACUUUGCUUUAAGUUCUCUCUGGACUUGAAUAAUAGUGAGAUAAUAUUUUGAUCGGUGUUUGUUCAAUCUAGAUUUGGUAUUCUUGGUUGUUGGUGGGACUCCAUCUAAUUUGGUUCUGGAGGUUAUGUUCUAUAUUGUUUCGAUGUGCUUUCUCUCCCUUUUUUCAAUUGUUGACGUUCUGGCAUGUGAAAUGAUCUCUGACAUUCUAAAUCCAUGGGAAAUUCUAAACCAUUGAGCUUAAAAGGUUGCUAUAUAGGAUUUCUUUGGAUGCUUAUUUCGUUAAAUGCUAUGACUAGUUCUCUAGUUCUGCAUAGAAAGAGUUUGGAUAUUUUAUUGCUUCUAUAUCUCUCGUCCUGCUUGGUUGUUGUACAUAAAUUUAUGCUGGUUGUUGUUUCGGUUGGCUGCCAUUGCUUGCUCCGUUUGAUGACACGUAAUUGAUGGUCAUCAAAUUUUGAGCAAACUUUUUUUGGGUCCGGUAGUCUUGGUGAUGCAAUUGGUUGUCCACCUGCUUUAAUAUGUUGUUGUAUGCACCACAUUUGUGGAAUGCCCGAACAUCUAUUUAAUGUUGGCAUUAUGUGGUUCUGUAUGCUGUUUUUUGCCGCUGUGACUGAGACACAUAUAACUUUAGUAUUUUCAUGGAUGGAUUAUUGUAAUUUCUUUGCGUUUGUUACCUCUUGCUGUCAACUUUGAAUGAUAUGAUCAACCCUUUUUUGGUAGAUGCUGUCUGUAGGUCCCUGUUGGUCUAAACUGUGGAUGAAAUGGUCUGCUAGUUGAUUGCACUCUCUGUCAUUGUAUUUGUCUUUGAUAAAUAGUUAAUUUUCGGACCAACAAAUUUUUUUUUUGGGGCUAUGAUAAUGUGCAUUUUGUUGUUUUAAUUCAUUUUCGAUAAGCAUUAUUCAUUUGAUCUCACCUAAGUUCAAUCUUCACGUGAUGCUGCUGGCCUUAAAGCAUUCACGUCAUAAGUUAUAUUAAUUGCAGUUGUGUUCAAAGUUUUUCCGUUCCCUUUUUUAUUUUUAUCAUAUCCACAACUGAAGUGACAUAUGUCACGCCCCGGACCCGGAUCCGUGACAUGGCCGUGCUAUUGCCGACUACCGCCCACAAUAGCACGAAGCCUCAUACAUGGGUAACAGGGUAGUCAGACUUGUCAAACUGUCAUAUAUUUAAAAUAUUUGCCGUGUGUCAUAUAAGGUAGUAUAGGGUAUUUCUUCUUCCAUCUCUGUGCCAGAGUCUUUUUUCCUCUGUUUUACUGUUGAAACAGAGGGGAGAAACAUUCCACAGAGGAACUUUCCCUCUUUUUAUUUUGUUUAAACCCAUUUAAGUAAAUCAGGUCAUAUCUUGCUCCGGGUUGGCUACAGCCGAGCAGUACACCCUUCAAGAAAUCCCUCCUUCCUCUCCUAGGGCUUCAGAGGUUCAGCUCCAUCAACCUUCGGCUCUAGGGUUCGGCUUCUCUGGUACAGUACCCGAGAGGGCUAAGGAAUAAGAGGGUAUAGUAACUCCUAAGUUAAGAAACUGAGAGUUUAAAUAAACUCUGCUUAGGAGGUGACCCUUGGAGAGGCGGCACCCUCUCCUUCCUCCUUACUCCGGAAGCCUACAGAUGCCCUUUCCCUCAGGCCAGCUGGGCUUGUCCUUUCAACCUGGGUGAGGUGGCAGACUCCCAUUUUGCAUGGAUGAGGGCCCAACAGCUGGUCUUCCCCCCUAUUGGCCAGCGGGGGCCCGUCACUUCAGUCCUCAGGCGUGAGGUGAGGGUUGCCAUCCAUGGGCCCAAUACGGCCCCAUUAACGACCGAGCCCAAAUACCCUUAAACUGGGCCUCAGAAGUAUUGGGCCCAGUUAGUAUCAGGCCCGGAUGUUACAAAAUCCAUGGGAAAUCCUAAACCAUUGAGCUUAAAAGGUUGCUAUAUAGAAUUUCUUUGGAGGCUUAUUUCGUCAGAUGCUAAGACUAUUUAUCUGGUUCUUCAUAUUAAGAGUUUGGAUUAUUUUAUUGCUUCUAUAUCUCUCAUCUUGCUUGGUUGUUGUACAUAGAUUUGUGCUGGUUGUUGUCUUAGUUCGCUACCAUUGCUUGCUCCAUUUGAUGACAUGUGAACGAUGGUCAUCAAAUUUUGAGCAAACUUUUUUUUGGUUCCAUUAGCCUUGGUGAUUCAAUUGGUUCUGGAGGCUAUGUUCUAUAUUGUUUCAUUGUGCUCUCUCUCCCUCUUUUCAAUUGUUGACGUUUUGGCAUGUGAAAUGAUCUCUGACAUUCUAAAUCCACGGGAAAUUCAAAACCAUUGAGCUUAAAAGGUUGCUAUAUAGGAUUUCUUCGGAUGCUUAUUUCGUUAAAUGCUAGGACUAGUUCUCUAGUUCUUCAUAGAAAGAGUUUGGAUUAUUUUAUUGCUUCUAUAUCUCUCGUCCUGCUUGGUUGUUGUACAUGAAUUUAUGCUGGUGGUUGUUUCGGUUGGCUGCCAUUGCUUGCUCCGUUUGGUGGCACGUAAUUGAUGGUCAUCAAAUUUUGAGCAAACUUUUUUUGGGUCCGGUAGUCUUGGUGAUGCAAUUGGUUGUCCACCUGCUUUAAUAUGUUGUUGCACGCACCACGUUUGUGGAAUGCCCGAACAUCUAUUUAAUGUAGGCAUUUUGUGGUUUUGUAUGCUGUUUUUUGCCGCUGUGAUUGAGACACAUAACUUUAGUAUUUUCAUGGAUGGAUUAUGGUAAUUUCUUUGCAUUUGUUACCUCUUGCUGUCAACUUUGAAUGGCAUGAUCAACCCUUUUUUGGUAGAUGCUGUCUGUAGGUCCUUGUUGGUCUAAACUGUAGAUGAAAUGGUCUGCUAGUUGAUUGCACUCCCCGUCAUUGUAUCCGUCUUUGAUAAAUAGUUAAUUUUCGGACUAACAAAUUUUUUUUUUUGGGCUAUGAUAAUGUGCAUUUUGUUGUUUUAAUUCAAUGUUCAAUAAGCAUUAUUCAUUUGAUCUCACCUAAGUUCAAUCUUCACGUGAUGCUACAGGCCUUAAAGCAUUCACGUCAUAAGUUAUAUUAAUUGCAGGUGUGUUCAAAGUAUUUCUGUUCCCUUUUUUAUUUUUAUCAUAUCCACAACUGAAGUGACAUAUGUCACGCCCCGGACACGAUCCGCGACACGGCCGUGCUAUUGCCGACUACCGCCCACAAUAGCACGAGCAGUACAACCUUCAAGAAAUCCCUCCUUCCUCUCCUAGGGCUUCAGAGGUUCAGCUCCUUCAACCUUCGGCUCUAGGGUUCGGCUUCUCUGGUACAGUACUCCAGAGGGCUAAGGAAUAAGAGGGUAUAUUAACUCCUAAGUUAAGAAACUGAGAGUUUAAAUAAACUCUGCUUAGGAGGUGACCCUUGGAGAGGUGGCACCCUCUCCUUCCUCCUUGCUUCCGAAGCCUACAGCUGCCCUUUCCCUCUGGCCCGCUGGGCUUGUCCUUUCAACCUGGGUGAGAGGUGGCAGACUCCCAUUUUGCAUGGAUGAGGGCCCAACAGCUGGCCUUCCCCCCGCUGGCCAGCUGGGGCCCGUCACUUCAGUCCUCAGGCGUGAGGCGAGGGUUGCCAUCCAUGGGCCCAAUACGGCCCCAUUAAUGACCUGGCGCAAAUAUCCUUAAACUGGGCCUCAAAAGUAUUGAGCCUAGUUAGUAUCGGGCCCGGACAUUUAUUCUUUCCCUCUUAAAUAAAUUUCAUCCUCGAAAUUAAUCAUGCCUCAAUUUUUAGGUAUGCAGUGUAAUUCUCUAGAAAAACUGACUGAAAUAAAGAAAUGUGAAUAGCCAGAAUCAAACAAAAUCCAUGGUAAAUCCUAAACCAUUGAGCUUAAAAGGUUGCUAUAUAGAAUUUCUUUGGAGGCUUAUUUCGUCAGAUGCUAAGACUAUUUCUCUGGUUCUUCAUAUAAAGAGUUUGGAUUAUUUUAUUGCUUCUAUAUCUCUCAUCUUGCUUGGUUGUUGUACAUAGAUUUGUGCUGGUUGUUGUCUCAGUUCGCUGCCAUUGCUUGCUCCAUUUGAUGACAUGUGAACGAUGGUCAUCAAAUUCUGAGCAAACUUUUUUUGGUUCCGUUAGCCUUGGUGAUUCAAUUGGUUGUCCACCUGCUUUAAUUUGUUGUUGCUCGCACCACGUUUGUAGAAUGCCCCAACAUCUAUUUGAUGUUGGCAUUAUGGGGUUAUGUAUGCUAUUUUUUGUCUUUGUGAUUGAGACACAUAUAACUUUAGUGUUUUCAUGGAUCGAUUAUAGUAAUUUCUAUGCUUUUGUUGCCUCUUGCUGUGAACUUUGAAUGAUAUGAUCAAGCCUUUCAUGGUGGAUGCUGUUUGUAGGUCACUGUUGGUCUAGACUAUGGAUGAAAUAGUUUGGUCAUCUCAUGGUCAUCUCAUCUUAUAGGGGCUAGAUUCGUGAUUUUCUGUGGAAAUUGUCUUCGAUAAAUCCUAACCAUUGAUGUCUCUUUAGCAAGCAUAUCUGAUUGGUGGAACAGCAUGCUCAAGUUGAAAAACUGUUCGAUUGCAGUAUUUCUUGAAGUUUGUAAGUAUAUUUUGAUUUAUUUGCCAGCAAUUUAUCAGAGUAUUACUUUUAUUGCUUAAGGCUGUGAUUUCUUGAAUCAGAUUAACUUUUUGGUCUGUUAUUGACGUUCAACAAGCAUCAAUAGUGCUGGACACCAAUUUUUAGACUAGUAUACUAGAUUAAAUUAUCCAUUUGUUGUGGACCUGUUUUGACCAGAUCUUGAUUUGAAAGCAUUGGUAGGUUGUGAGUUGAGAGGGAACCCUCUUGAGUAAUAUUUAGAUUUGCAGUAAACCUUAUUUAUUUGUUGCAGUAGACCUGUUUAUCUAAUGCUGGAGAUUAUGUGAACUUGUCAUGUAAGACAUAAGGUUCAAAAUGGUAUUAUAAUGGUUCCAAGAAUUAGGAGCAUGGGCGAGCAUACAAUGUGACGGAUAAUCGCCUUCUCAAAGAGCUGGUUCUUUUAUGUUGGUAAACACGGCUCAACCUUCCACCUCUUCUUUCUCCUAGCUUUCUACUUGAGAGAGGAGGUGAGCAUCUAUAGUGAUUUCUCAGUUACCCUUCAAGCAUUGUUCCUUCUCCUUUUCUUCUUCGCUUUAUUGUGUAUGGAUGUAUUUAUGUAUGAAUAUUCAUGCAACAAGGGGUGACUUCUAAAAUUGUUCUUCUCUUCUUUGCAUGCCAUCUUCUCUAGCAAUAGGCGAGACAUAUAUGGAAGGUCUACUACAUUGCUGGCACCCGAUCUGCAUUCAUUGUAAGUUGGAGAGGUCAUCACCAGAGGAGAAGAGGUGCAGGGAUCUUCUCCUCUUUUUUGCGUGCAUGUAUAUUAAUGAGAUGAUGGGCAAGUUGUGAAAUUUCUCCUCUUCUUUGCGUGUCAACUUCUCUAGCAAUAGGCGAGGAACUUCUGGAAGUGGUGAAUUUGAGCCUCUUCUUCCUUUUCCCUUUUUGCCUUUCAAUUUCUUGUUUUUUGAAGAUUAUAUUUUUGUAGCACUUUUUUAAUUACAUAACUGUAAUUAAAUAUUUUUUGAUGUAAUUUUUCGGUUGUUCCUGAAGAAUUCAUUGGAUUUGGAGGCUGAUGAUAGUUUCAAGAUAAAGAUGGUAUCGAUAAAGGGGCUUGAUUCGUGAUUUUCUGUGGAAGCUGUCCUCGAUAAAUCCUAACCAUUGAUGUCUCUUUAGCAAGCAUAUCUGAUUGGUGGAACAGCGUGCUCAGAUCUUGAUUUGAAAGCAUUGGUAGCUUGCGGGUUGGGAGGGAACCCUCUUGGUUCACGUAUCCAAAAGCUCCAAAAAAAUUUGGAACCGGUACGGGCCGAUACGGUUAGCCGGUUCGGGCCGGUACGGGUUUUUAACACCGAACCAGACCGUUCGGAGCCAGUAUCGGUUCGGUACGGGCUGAACCGGCCGGUACAGCAUUCCUUGCUUUUUUGUUUGUAUGGAUGCAUUUUUGCAGGAAUAUUGAUGCAACAAGGGUUGACUUCUAAAUUUGUUCUCUUCUUUGCAUGCCACCUUCUCUGGCAAUAGGCGAGGCAUUUUUGGAAGGUCUACUACGCUGCUGACAACCAAUCUGCAUUCAUUCUUCUCUAGCAAUUGGCGGGGAACAUCUGGAAGUGGCGAAUUUGAGCCUCUUUUUCCUUUUCCCAUUUUGCCUUCUAAUUUCUUGUUUUUUGAAGAUUAUAUUUUUUUUAAGGCUUCUUUAAUUACAAAACUGUAAUUAAAUUUCUUCUGAUGUGUUUUUUCUGCUGUUCCUGAAGAAUUCAUAUGAUUUGGAGGCUGAUGAUAGUUUCGAGAUAAAGAUGGUAUCAAUAAAGGUUGGGAGGGAACCCUCUUGGUUCACGUAUCCAAAAGCUCCAAAAGAAUUUGGAACCGGUACGGGCAGAUACGGUUAGCCGGUUCGGGCCGGUACGGGUUUUUAACACCGAACCAGACCUUUCCAAGCCAGUAUCGGUUCGGUACGGGCUGAACCGGCCGCAAUAGGUGAGGCAUUUUCGGAAGGUCUACUACAUUGCUGGCAACCAAUCUGCAUUCAUUGUAAGUUGGAGGGGUCAUCACCCGAGGAGAAGAGGAGCGGGGAUCUUCUCCUCUUUUUUGUGUAUAAUUUGUAGGAUUUGGAGGCCGUUGAUAGUUUCGAAAUAAAGAUGGUAUCAAUAAAGGGUGUAGCCAUAUCCGCUGAAGUUCAAAUGGACCAACAAUAAGCAUAUGUUGGUUGACUCUGAUUUAUUUUUGGAUCUGAGAUUGACUUGUUACAAAGCCAAAUAUCGUGUAUUCUAGGUAAAUUUUCUGUUUUGAUUUCUUAGUACUCACUUCUCAGCUAUUGUUGGACCCUAUGCUGCAGCAAAAGUCCGAACUUUUUGGGUGAAGAUGACAGCAUCUUUACUCAUUCCUGUGUUAUCCUUCAAAUGAACUAUUUCUACUCCUGGUCAUCUCAUUUUAUAGGGGCUAGAUUCGUGAUUUUCUGUGGAAGCUGUCCUUGAUAAAUCCUAACCAUUGAUGUCUCUUAAGCAAGCAUAUCUAAUUGGUGGAACAACAUGCAAAGGUCGAAAAACUGUCCGAUCGCAGUAUUUCUUUAAGUACGUAAGUAUAUUUUGAUUUAUUUCCCAACAAUUUGCCUUACUAUUACCUUUAUUGCUUAUGGCUGUGCUUUCUUCAAUCAGAUUGGCUUUUUGAUCUAUUCUUGAUGUUCAACAAGCAUCAAUAGAGCUAGUCAUAUUUUAGAUUGGUAUACUAGAUUAAGUUAUUCAUGUGUUGCUGACCGGUUCUGACCAUAUCUUGAUUUGAAAGUACUGGUAGGUUGUGAGCUGGGAGGGAACCCUCUUGAGUCAUAUUCAGAUUUGCGGUGGAGCACGGGCAGGCAUACAAUGUGACGGAUAAUCGCCUUCUCAAAGAGUUGGUUCUUGUAUGUUGGUAAAAAAGGCUCAGCCUUCCACCUCUCCUGCCCCCUAGCUUUCUUCUGCUCUUUUUUGUGUAUGUAUGUAUAUUGAUGAGAAGAUGGGUGACUUGUAAAAUUGCAGUUCUCUUCUUUGCGUGCCAGCUUCUCUAGCAAUAGGCGAGGAACUUCUGGAAGUGAAUUCAUAGGAUUUGGAGGCUGAUGAAAGUUUUGGGAUAAGGAUGCUAUAAAAAAAGGUAAUUUUUGGUCUUGCAUGGAUUCUGUCAUCCUUCGUUAUUCUCUUUUUUCCAUCUUUUCUUCAAGUAAUAGUGUGAAAAAAGACGAAGUGGCUUGCUUAGAGGCCAACUAGUGCUGGCGAUAACUUUAAGUUCCAUUUUUGCGCUUCCUUUAUGUAGGAGUUGCAGAAGCCGAGGUAGAAAUUUCUCUAGAGUUGGUAUUAACUAGGGUAAUCUCUUUGGACUUUCCCAUGAUGAUGUCCUUAGUCUUGGUAACAGUUAUCCAAUCAAUCAAUUAUUUAUUCUGGUCCUUUGUCUACUUUUAUUUUUCCUGAUCUUGCUACUUAUCUCUGUAUAUCUGGUGGUAAUUUGAUUCACUUGUAAACUUUUAUGCUUCAGAGGCCUGGAUCAUACUCUAUUGCUAUGUGGUGGUCUAUCGGUUGCUGCUGCAGGAAUUUCUAUACAAUAGUUUGAAUUUGAUUUUCCACUACAACUGUUCAUGAAAUACUCUUUCCUUAUAAACUUAUUACUAUUGUUUGACUACUAGAAUUAUUCCGAAUUUGUUUUUUAUAAGAUUCACUUCUAUUUAUUUGCCCCUUUUUCUUCAUAGCUAUUUAUUUGCCCCUUUUUCUUCCUAGCUAUUUCGUAGUAUUAUUUGCUAAUCAAAUUGGAAAGGGCGGAAAUAAAAUAUAAAAAUUUUAUGCUUUGCAAGUUGGAAGGUCCAUUGUUCUGCAGGCUACUGCUGCAGCCUAUUGGAGACUGGACAAGAUUUUUGGAUCGCUAUAUGCCUUUCCUCCUACUCAACUCUGUAUACCAUUUCUUUUCCUACUCUUCUGUUGGUUGAUUUGUUCAUUAAAUAUUGCACUUUAUUCUUUUAUUGACAGCUUUUGAAUUUAUAUGUUAAGGCCAUUUUCUCCAGAAGGUUGUGAUGAUUCUUGGACCCGGGUUUUGCUAUGAAAGGAAAGCGGCUAUUUUCUUGACGACGAGGCAAUCUUGGAUUUGGCAUUCUUGGCUGUUUGUGGGACUCCGUUUAAUUUGGUUCUGGUGGUUAUGUUCUAUAUUGUUUCGAUGUGCUCUCUCUCCCUCUUUUCAAUUGUUAAUGUUCUGGCUUGUGAAAUGAUCUCUGACUUGCUAAAUUCAUGGGAAAUCCUAAACCAUUAAGCUUAAAAGGUUGCUAUUUAGGAUUUCUCCGGAGGCUUAUUUCGUUAAAUGCUAAGACUAGUUCUCUGGUUCUUCAUAUAAAGAGUUUGGAUUAUUUUAUUGCUUUUAUAUCUCUCAUCCUACUUGGUUGUUGUGCAUAAAUUUGUGCUGGUUGUUGUUUCGGUUGGCUGCCAUUGCUUGCUCCAUUUGAUGACAUGUGAAUGAUGGUCAUCAAGUUCUGGGCAAACUUUUUUUGGGUCUGUUAGUCUUGGUGAUGCAAUUGGUUGUCCACCCGCUUUAAUUUAUUGUUGCCCGCACCACGUUUGUGGAAUGCCCCCGCAUCUAUUUAAUGUUGGCAUUAUGUGGUUCUGUAUGCUGUUUUUUGCCACUGUGACUGAGACACAUAUAACUUUAGUGUUUUCGUGGAUGUAUUAUUAGUAAUUUCUGCGCGUUUGUUACCUGUUGCUAUAAACUUUGAAUGAUAUGAUCGACCCUUUCUUGGUAGAUGCUGUUUGUAGGUCACUGUUGGUUUGAACUGUGGAUGAAAUGUUCUGCUAGUUGAUUGCACUUCUAGUCAUCGUAUCUGGCGUUGAUAAAUAGUUAAUUUUUGAACCAACAAUUUUAUUUUUUUGGGCUAUGGUAAUGUGCAUUUUGUUGUUUUAAUUCAAUGUUCAAUAAGCAUUAUUCAGUUGAUCUCACCUAUGUUCAAUCUUCACGUGUUCAAUAAGUGGUUCUGUAUGCUAUUUUUUGCCUUUGUGACUGGGGCACACAUACAACUUUAGUGUUUUCAUGGAUCGAUUAUAGUAAUUUCUAUGCUUUUGUUGCUUCUUGCUGUCAACUUUGAAUGAUAUGGUCAGGCUUUUCAUGGUGGAUGUUGUUUGUAGGUCACUGUUGGUCUAGACUGUGGUUGAAAUAGUUUGGUGUUGGAGAUUAUGUUCUCUUCAGCAGCGAUUGAGCGAGCAGCUCCGGAAGGUCUGCUGUUCCGCAGACAAUUGAGCAGCAACAAUCGUUCGAUGGGGGGAGGAGAUUAAGAGACACUAUGGGAUCUUUUCCCCAGCUCGGCUUCUAGUUCUUUUACUCAUGAUUUGUUGGUCUUCUCUUUCUUCUUCUCCUUCAACUUGUUGUUGGUCUCCCGGGGGGGUAAUUGUUGGGAGUUGUAUCCUACGUGUCAAUCGUCAGCGUGUUGAUCUCUUAUAUUCAUUGUUGGGAAUUGAUUGAUAAAUUAAUAAAGUGUUAUUUGGCAUUAUUCAUCA